rnacentral:rRNA from 1 species
GACGAACGCUGGCGGCGUGCUUAACACAUGCAAGUCGAACGGAAAGGCCCUGCUUGCAGGGUACUCGAGUGGCGAACGGGUGAGUAACACGUGGGUGAUCUGCCCUGCACUUCGGGAUAAGCUUGGGAAACUGGGUCUAAUACCGGAUAGGAACCAUCUUUAGUGUGGUGGUUGGAAAGUUUUUUCGGUGUAGGAUGAGCUCGCGGCCUAUCAGCUUGUUGGUGGGGUAAUGGCCUACCAAGGCGGCGACGGGUAGCCGGCCUGAGAGGGUGUACGGCCACAUUGGGACUGAGAUACGGCCCAGACUCCUACGGGAGGCAGCAGUGGGGAAUAUUGCACAAUGGGCGCAAGCCUGAUGCAGCGACGCCGCGUGGGGGAUGAGGGCCUUCGGGUUGUAAACUCCUUUCGCUAGGGACGAAGCUUUGUUGUGACGGUACCUAGAUAAGAAGCACCGGCUAACUACGUG